rnacentral:lncRNA from 1 species
AUCUUUACUUCACAGGACCCACGGAAUUUUAGACCCAUACCUACUCUUCCAUUGUGAUCAAUAUCUUAGACAAACAUUGCAGUCUGCCCAGAUGAAGACAUUUAACUACUACUGUGUGAUUCAAAAGCCCAAGGCAGCAGCCCUAUUUGAUCACUUGGCUGAGAAUUUCUACUUCAGGUUCAGGUUCAGCUCUUUUGCAUCUGCCAUCAUAAAUUCCAUACAUCAAUCCACAUUGGUUGAUUAAGAUAUUGCCUACACUCUACGGCUAUGAGCCCCUUUGUUCUUUGAUUGUAAGCCCA